GUCGAGCGGUAGAGAGAAGCUUGCUUCUCUUGAGAGCGGCGGACGGGUGAGUAAUGCCUAGGAAUCUGCCUGGUAGUGGGGGAUAACGUCCGGAAACGGACGCUAAUACCGCAUACGUCCUACGGGAGAAAGCAGGGGACCUUCGGGCCUUGCGCUAUCAGAUGAGCCUAGGUCGGAUUAGCUAGUUGGUGAGGUAAUGGCUCACCAAGGCGACGAUCCGUAACUGGUCUGAGAGGAUGAUCAGUCACACUGGAACUGAGACACGGUCCAGACUCCUACGGGAGGCAGCAGUGGGGAAUAUUGGACAAUGGGCGAAAGCCUGAUCCAGCCAUGCCGCGUGUGUGAAGAAGGUCUUCGGAUUGUAAAGCACUUUAAGUUGGGAGGAAGGGCAUUAACCUAAUACGUUAGUGUUUUGACGUUACCGACAGAAUAAGCACCGGCUAACUCUGUGCCAGCAGCCGCGGUAAUACAGAGGGUGCAAGCGUUAAUCGGAAUUACUGGGCGU
rnacentral:rRNA from 1 species